CGGUGCUGAAAGUGGCUACAUCAAAUGGCUACGUUUCUGGCCCCAAAACACCCCUUUCCGAGGUAGCCACUCACGAAAAAGUGCAAUAAAAACAAGGCAUAUAGAAUGCGUCGCCGCGUUCGGGACGCGGAGACCGGAGGUUCAAAUCCUCUCAUCCCGACCA
rnacentral:tRNA from 1 species